CGCGUUGCGGCCGUCCUAAUCAUGCAAAGUCGAGCGAACAGAUGAGGAAGCUUGCUUCUCUUGAUGUUAGCGGCGGACGGGUGAGUAACACGUGGGUAACCUACCUAUAAGACUGGGAUAACUCCGGGAAACCGGGGCUAAUACCGGAUAAUAUUUUGAACCGCAUGGUUCAAUAGUGAAAGACGGUUUCGGCUGUCACUUAUAGAUGGACCCGCGCCGUAUUACCUAGUUGGUAAGGUAACGGCUUACCAAGGCGACAAUACGUAGCCAACCUGAGAGGGUGAUCGGCCACACUGGAACUGAAACACGGUCCAAACUCCUACGGGAGGCAGCAGUAGGGAAUCUUCCGCAAUGGGCGAAAGCCUGACGGAGCAACGCCGCGUGAGUGAUGAAGGUCUUCGGAUCGUAAAACUCUGUUGUUAGGAAAAAACAAAUUUGUUAUUAACUGAACAAUUCUUGACGGUACCUAACCAAAAAGCCACGGCUAACUACGUGCCAGCACCCGCGGUAAUACGUAGGUGGCAAGCGUUAUCCGGAAUUAUUGGGCGUAAAGCGCGCGUAGGCGGUUUCUUAAGUCUGAUGUGAAAGCCCACGGCUCAACCGUGGAGGGUCAUUGGAAACUGGGAAACUUGAGUGCAGAAAAGGAAAGUGAAUUCCAUGUGUAGCGGUGAAUGCGCAAAAUAUGGAGGAACACCAGUGCGCGAAGGCAGCUCUCU
rnacentral:rRNA from 1 species